AGUGAACGCUGGCGGUAGGCCUAACACAUGCAAGUCUAACGGCAGCACAGUAAGAGCUUGCUCUUACGGGUGGCGAGUGGCGGACGGGUGAGGAAUACAUCGGAAUCUACUUUUUCGUGGGGGAUAACGUAGGGAAACUUACGCUAAUACCGCAUACGACCUACGGGUGAAAGCAGGGGAUCUUCGGACCUUGCGCGAUUGAAUGAGCCGAUGUCGGAUUAGCUAGUUGGCGGGGUAAAGGCCCACCAAGGCGACGAUCCGUAGCUGGUCUGAGAGGAUGAUCAGCCACACUGGAACUGAGACACGGUCCAGACUCCUACGGGAGGCAGCAGUGGGGAAUAUUGGACAAUGGGCGCAAGCCUGAUCCAGCCAUACCGCGUGGGUGAAGAAGGCCUUCGGGUUGUAAAGCCCUUUUGUUGGGAAAGAAAAGCAGCAGGUUAAUACCCCGCUGUUCUGACGGUACCCAAAGAAUAAGCACCGGCUAACUUCGUG
rnacentral:rRNA from 1 species